ensembl:lncRNA
AUAUAUACAGUAUAUAAAUAAUUACAAUCUGACUAGAAUCAGCUGAAGUGAUCUUACUUAAUCGUUAUAACAUUUUUUACAGAUUUUGUUUCUCUUUUUCAGUAUUUGUUUUUAUAAAUAAAAAAACCAAAAAGGAUACUUUUUAAAUAUAAAAAAAACAACAACAUAUUUUCGUAGAUAUAAACUGGUCAAACAAGGCAACGCAAAGUAACUUAAAGCCCAAACACGCAUAUUUGUUCCAUAAGCAAAUCUCGUAUGGUGCAUGGAUUCUACUUUGGACGUCUUUCACUACAACCUCUCCAGUGCUAAAAGCCACGUCCUCGUUUUGUUUCGUUUUGACCGUGUUUGAUUGCAUUAUACUAUACAGCAUAUUGCACUGCUUGUGGAUAUGUAUUAUCUAAUGCACUUUGUUUUCCUGUUAUAAUGUUCUUCCUGCUUUUCAAAUCUCUGAAGACAUCUCAAGUCAUCGUAAUAUUUUUUUUAAAUAAGAGAUGUGUGUGUUUUUCGGUUGGUGUAAUCAGUUAUUAAUGAAAUCUGGUAUUUCUGUACUUGAACUUCAAUUACAAAAACAUCUCCAGUUUUUAUAUAAGCAUUUACAAAUAAUACAGCAGGGAUCUACAGUCCCCUUUGAAAUUAUUAGCACCCGUCACACACACACACACAAAAAAUAAAAAAAAAAUAGAGCAAAAAUCAAUGUAUAUAAAAUAAACAUUACACACAUACCCAAUUCGAAUAAGAGAAAGUAUUUAUCUCUGUUCUAACAAAGAAUCAGUUUCACUGUUUUUUGAAUAUUUUUUCUCUCUAAAAAAAAAAUAGGUCUAUAUGUUCUACAGUUAUUGACACCACAAAGGAAUAAUUGCAAAUAAAUGCAAACAUGCUUGACAAAAACAAUUCUUUUCUAUAUUUGCUCUUAGUCCCCAGGAAGACUGUUAUGCUCUCUGCAGUGUAAAUAUAAAGCUUGGAAGAUAUUUGGAAGAUGUGAAGCGAAGAAGGAUUUCCUGAAAGCAGCUCACAUAAUGCAGAGCGUUAACGUCACCAGAGCUACAGUCUACAGCACUGUGUGUGAGACUUGUAAAAGCCAUUAUUUCAGGCUGCAAGUAGGGAGAGAUUUAACCAGAGCUCAACAGCUCGUUAAAACAGAAAGGCAAAACCACCUUGGUGGUCUCUCCAAAGUCAACUAACUAAAUGCAACAUGUCAAUAAUGAAACAGCUAACGGUUCAAAAACGCACCAGAAACCUAGACACCACCGUGGAUAGCCUAAAGACUGUCGUGGAAAUUAGACAACACUUGCAGACUCGUCCUCUGAAGGUAAAAAGGUUUAUUACAGAAAAAUGGUUAAUACAGGAGAGAAUAAAGCAGGAUAGAAUAAUGAGAGCGCUCUGAAGCUCUUGUGCUGAACCACUACUAUAUAUAUGAAACGCAGAGCAUGACACACUUCUGUACCGAUAAGAAGCGGUUUGAGGCAGUUCAAACAGGCUUUGUUUUAGGGGUCUCUAGAAGAUGUGCAGACGAACCUUGAACAGAAGAACAUGUUUGUGUUUCUGUAAGCAGAUAAACAUUCUGUGCUGAUCUCAGUGACAUGACAUGGCCUUCUUAGGCGUUAUCCUCAGAUGAACAUGAACAAAAUUAUUACAAAGAAAAAUGAGUCAUUUCCCUCACAAGGCAAAACAGUUUUAAGGGAUUCUAAUAAGAGAAAAUGCUACCUCUUUUCCUUUCUGAAUUCAUGAAUGCAGAAUUAGGAAUAGUUAGGAAGUUUCUGUAAUAUGGCCCUGGAACGUAAGAAGGACGUGGAAGACAACCAGGACACCUUGAUCACUCAGGUUGAUGAAAAUGGCCGGAGGAUGACUGUGACACAGCAGGUACUUUUUUAUAGGCUGCUCACUUGGGGUCACAAUCACAAGAUGAGGACUUUCCUAAUUGUAUUCAGCAACAAAUACCAAGAAAAACGCACCAAAACUGUCCUCUGCUUCAUCAUAGUCCCAUUAAAAAUCGUAAAAAGGGGCAAUAGGCAAAAUUUUCAUUUCUUACUAGAGCAAAUACAUCCAUCCAUCCAUCCAUCUUCUAUACCGCUUAUCCUUUUCAGGGUCACGGGGAACCUGGAGCCUAUCCCAGGGAGCAUGGGGCACAAGGCGGGGUACACCCUGGACAGGGUUCCAAUACAUCAGGGCACAAUCACACACACACUCACACAUCCAUUCAUACACUAUGGACAAUUUGAACAUGCCAAUCAGCCUACCAUGCGUGUCUUUGGACUGGGGGAGGAAACCCCUGCAGCACGGGGAGAACAUGCAAACUCCACACACACAGGGCCACGGUGGGAAUCGAACCCCCGACCCUGGAGGUGUGAGGCGAACAUGCUUAGAACAAAUACAGCUGCAAUCAAAAUUAUUCAAUCCCCAUAGCAAUCCAGGUUUGUGAAUACCAGGGGGUGGAUAGUUUUGAGACUGGAGAAGUCACUAUAAGUUGCAAUUUUUGUUGAAACCACUUGAAGCAGUCACUGUGUCGAACUAUUUCAAUUGCUUUUGUUGGAUUUGUUCAUUGCAAACUGUUGAAAGUUUGUCAAUUUUGACAAUAAACCUGAUUUGCACUUGGGGUUGAAUCAUUUUGAUUGCUCCUGUAUUGUGGAAAAUGAUGUACAGUGGAGCUUGAGAAGUUUG